GGUGGAGACAGACAGAGUGGUGGCAGGGAGAGGCCCCGGGAGCAGGCGCGUGGUGUUGCUGAACAGAUUUGGAGAUUGAGAGAAGACAUGCCAACUCCAUAAAACUAAAAAGCAUCAAGGUCAACUGAACCAUGAGAAGUAAGCUUUUGGCAGAGGAAGCCGUAAUCUGUUACUUUACACAUAACCUAAAUAGGUACCAAUGCUUUGUGUCCACCCCCUUGAAACUCCUGAAUGAGAAGGAUGUUCUUCUCUUAAGAUCAAGCAUGUUGCUUAAUACUUUCCUGAAGAUGGAAUGAUGCCUACACAAAGUGGUACCUAG